AUUGAACGCUGGCGGCAGGCCUAACACAUGCAAGUCGAGCGGAUGCAGGGAGCUUGCUCCUGGAUUCAGCGGCGGACGGGUGAGUAAUGCCUAGGAAUCUGCCUGGUAGUGGGGGAUAACGUCCGGAAACGGGCGCUAAUACCGCAUACGUCCUGAGGGCGAACGUGGGGGAUCUUCGGACCUCACGCUAUCAGAUGAUCCUAGGUCGGAUUAGCUAGUUGGUGGGGUAAAGGCCUACCAAGGCGACGAUCCGUAACUGGUCUGAGAGGAUGAUCAGUCACACUGGAACUGAGACACGGUCCAGACUCCUACGGGAGGCAGCAGUGGGGAAUAUUGGACAAAGGGCGAAAGCCUGAUCCAGCCAUGCCGCGUGUGUGAAGAAGGUCUUCGGAUUGUAAAGCACUUUAAGUUGGGAGGAAGGGCAGUAAGUUAAUACCUUGCUGUUUUGACGUUACCAACAGAAUAAGCACCGGCUAACUUCGUG
rnacentral:rRNA from 1 species